rnacentral:rRNA from 1 species
UACGUAGGGGGCGAGCGUUGUCCGGAGUUACUGGCGUAAGGGCAGUGCAGGCGGUCGACGCGUUUCGGGUGACACGGGUGGCUUAACUACCCGAGUGGUCGAAAGACGGUUUGACUUGAGGACGCGAGAGGGACACGGAAUUCCGGGUGGAGUGGUGAAAUGCGUAGAGAUCCGGAGGAACACCGAAGGCGAAGGCAGUGUCCUGGCGCGUAACUGACGCUGAGGUGCGAAAGCCAGGGGAGCGAACGGG